AAGGGGAAGGAACAGCUUGCUCUUAUUAAGUUAGCAGCGGAAGGGUGAAUAAGCGUGGGUAACCUGCCCAUAAAACUGGGAAACUCCGGUAAACCGGGGCAAAUACCGAAUAAUAUUUUUAACUGGGAGGUUCCAAACUGAAAAGGCGCUUUGCGUCGUCUUUUUUGAAUGAACCCCCCCCCCCCUUACCUUGUUGGAAGAUGUAACCGCACCCGGUAGGAAAGGGUUGCUAAACCCAUCUGAAAAGGGGUGGCCGAUUUUCUGGUAUUGAAAAAUUUUUUACAGUUUUUAGGGGAGGGAAAAUUUUAAAAUCCCCCAAAUUGGAAGGGUGUCAGAAAAAGCGGCGCUGCGUGAUUGAGGGGGUUUUUCGGGUCAUAUCUCUCUAUUGUUGGGGAAAAAAAGUGAUACGAGUUACUCUCUCCCCGGGAAGGAACCCCCCUAUAGACGGGUUUAAAAGAGGUGCCAACACGCGAUGUGUUCUCGCUGCCGCGUAACACGAUUUGCGCCACUUUUGCGCACACGUUUUUUCUUUUUAGAUUACAGCUGCGCCCCACACUCCGGAGGAUUAGUGAUACGCGAAACUGAGCGCAGAGAGGAGACCCCUUCAUGUGA
rnacentral:rRNA from 1 species